UGUAGUGAGUUGGCAGAAUAGUGCCACCGCCUGUUUAUGAGCAAUGCUCUCUUAUU
rnacentral:tRNA from 1 species